AUUGAACGCUGGCGGCAUGCCUUACACAUGCAAGUCGAACGGCAGCACGGGUGCUUGCCCCUGGUGGCGAGUGGCGAACGGGUGAGUAAUACAUCGGAACAUGUCCUGUAGUGGGGGAUAGCCCGGCGAAAGCCGGAUUAAUACCGCAUACGAUCUACGGAUGAAAGCGGGGGACCUUCGGGCCUCGCGCUAUAGGGUUGGCCGAUGGCUGAUUAGCUAGUUGGUGGGGUAAAGGCCUACAAAGGCGACGAUCAGUAGCUGGUCUGAGAGGACGACCAGCCACACUGGGACUGAGACACGGCCCAGACUCCUACGGGAGGCAGCAGUGGGGAAUUUUGGACAAUGGGCGAAAGCCUGAUCCAGCAAUGCCGCGUGUGUGAAGAAGGCCUUCGGGUUGUAAAGCACUUUUGUCCGGAAAGAAAUCCUUGGCCCUAAUACGGUCGGGGGAUGACGGUACCGGAAGAAUAAGCACCGGCUAACUACGUG
rnacentral:rRNA from 1 species